GAUUCCCUUCCUACAAAUCAAACUAUAAUAUCAAAGAAGAAACCCCCCAGGGAUCUG
rnacentral:other from 1 species